rnacentral:rRNA from 1 species
GCAAGAUACCACGGGCGCACGGCGGAUGCCUUGGCACAGGGAGCCGAUGAAGGACGCGGCAAGCUGCGAUAAUCCCCGGCGAGGAGCACACAUCCUUCGACCCGGGGGUCUCCGAAUGGGCGAACCCAUCCACAGCAGUGUGGAUAUCCCCACCCCGAACACAUAGGGGCGGGGAGGACAACCCGGGGAACUGAAACAUCUAAGUACCCGGAGGAGAGGAAAUCAAUCUCGAGACUCCCCGAGUAGCGGCGAGCGAAAGGGGACCGAUGGCCAAACCGUCGAGCGGGCAUACCCGGCAGGGGUUCCGCCGACGGGGUUGCAGGGCCGCGCAUCCGGGGGCUGCCGCCCCCGGGCGCAGGUCCGGCUGGGGAGCGGAACGGCAUGGGAGGGCCGGCCGCAGCGGGUGACAGCCCCGUACGCGAACCCAGACCGGACGGCGCGACGCGGUCCCUGAGUAGGGCCGGGCACGUGAAACCCGGUCCGAACCUGGGUGGACCACCAUCCAAGCCUGAGUACUACCCUGUGACCGAUAGCGCACCAGUACCGUGAGGGAAAGGUGAAAAGCACCCCGGGAGGGGAGUGAAACAGUACCUGAAACCGUGCGCCCACGAGCAGUCGGAGCACCCUUGUGGUGUGACGGCGUGCCUUUUGUAGAAUGAGCCAGCGAGUCGCUGGCGCGGGGCGAGGUUAACCGAAAGGGAGCCGGAGCGAAAGCGAGCCUUAACAGGGCGACUUGAGUCCCGCGCCGCGGACGCGAAGCCGGGUGAGCUAUCCGUGGGCAGGCUGAAGCGGGGGUAAGACCCCGUGGAGGGCCGAACGCACGUCGGUUGAAAACGGCGGCGAUGACCUGCGGAUAGGGGUGAAAGGCCAAUCAAACCCGGAGAUAUCUCGUUCUCCCCGAAAUAGCUUUAGGGCUAGCGUCGCGCGUUCACCGCCGGAGGUAGAGCACCGGAUGGACGAGGGGGCUUCGCCGCCUACCGAAUCCAACCGAACUCCGAAUGCCGGCGGCCCAGAGCGCGGCAGUCAGAGCAUGUGGGCUAAGCUGUGUGCUCGAGAGGGAAACAGCCCGGACCGCCCGCUAAGGUCCCCAAGUUCCAGCCGAGUGGCAAAGGAUGUGCGUCCGCCCAGACAACCAGGAUGUUGGCUUAGAAGCAGCCAUGCAUUCAAAGAGUGCGUAACAGCUCACUGGUCGAGUGGACAUGCGCCGACAAUACACGGGGCUAAGCUGGACACCGAAGCGGCGGGAUUUUGAUUUUCAGAAUCGGUAGGGGAGCUUCCCAUGGGCGGUGAAGCCGCCGGGCGACCGGCGGUGGAGCGCAUGGGAGUGAGAAUGCUGGCAUGAGUAGCGAGAGACGAGAGAGUAACUCGUCCGCCGUGAACCCGAGGUUUCCUGGGCAAGGCUAAUCCUCCCAGGGUCAGUCGGGGGCUAAGGCGAGGCCGGAAGGCGUAGCCGACGCGCAGCAGGCAGACAUUCCUGCACCGCGCACGCGGCGCUACGACCGACGGGGCGACGGAUGGGGGUGGCUCGGCGGGGUUCUGGACGUCCCCGUGAUGGAGCGCGGCCCGCGGACCAGGGAAAUCCGGUCCGCACGAGGGCGAGGCUCCGGACGAAGCGAUUGAGCGAAGCGAGUGAGCCCGAGGUCCCUAGAAAAACCCCUAGGCAGGCGCGUGCGCGCCCGUACCGCAAACCGACACAGGUGGGUGGGUAGAACAUACCGAGGCGAUCGGGUCAACCAUGGUCAAGGAACUCGGCACAAUGGCCCCGUAACUUCGGGAGAAGGGGUGCCCGCGCGUACGUGAACGGACUUGCUCCGGGAGCGGAGGCGGGCCGCAGUGGAGAGGCCCAAGCGACUGUUUACCAAAAACACAGGACUCUGCAGAAGCCGCAAGGCGACGUAUAGGGUCUGACGCCUGCCCGGUGCCGGAAGGUCACGCGGAGGAGUUAGCGCAUCGCGCGAAGCCCCGAAGCCAAGCCCCGGUAAACGGCGGCCGUAACUAUAACGGUCCUAAGGUAGCGAAAUUCCUUGUCGGGUAAGUUCCGACCUGC